ensembl:lncRNA
GUAAAAUAAUGUCCCUCUAUACGGGAGGGUAAAAUAAUAUCCCUCUAUACGGGAGGGUAAAAUAAUGUCCCUCUAUACGGGAGGGUAAAAUAAUGUCCCUCUGUACGGGAGGGUAAAAUAAUAUCCCUCUAUACAGGAGGGGUAAAAUAAUGUCCCUCUGUACGGGAGGGUAAAAUAAUGUCCCUCUAUACGGGAGGGUAAAAUAAUGUCCCUCUAUAUGGGAGGGUAACAUAAUGUCCCUCUAUACGGGAGGGUAAAAUAAUGUCCCUCUAUACGGGAGGGUAAAAUAAUGUCCCUCUAUACGGGAGGGUAAAAUAAUGUCCCUCUGUACGGGAGGGUAAAAUAAUAUCCCUCUAUACGGGAGGGUAAAAUAAUGUCCCUCUAUACGGGAGGGUAAAAUAAUAUCCCUCUAUACGGGAGGGUAAAAUAAUGCAUUAGUCAUACUAAUUCAAUCUAAUCAAGCAAACAAAUAUAUAAAUAAACAUUUAAAAAAGGGAUUAACAAUUGUUACAUAUAAACUUGACUGUUACACUUCAGAAUGGUAAGUAGUUAUACAGCAUUUCCCAUAACUUUGUCUCUAAGAAGUGCUAGUUUACGGUAACAACUAAGCUAAAAACUAUGGAUUUGAACCACAGUUGAGCGUAGAUACUCUGAAUGAUAGAAACCACAGCUGGGGGCAACCCCACAGCUAGCAGCUUACCAGCACAGUAUUAUAUUAUAAUUUUACUAUACAGUUAUGUCCUAUGUAUGCAUUAAUGCAUCAUUCAUGUUGUUAAGAAUGCAUUCAUUAGAAUAUAUAACACUAUACAAGAAGCAGCUUCAAGUAAGUGUUACGAUAUUAUAUCAUGUCAUAUUAUACUGUUCUAUAUUACAGUGUAUUUCAUGUUAUAUUUGAUUAUAUUUACACUUAGUUUCAUCUUAUAUAUUAUAUAUUUUCAACUGGCUUCAUGCCGUUGCUGACCAGUCCUGGUCCUGCUUGUUCACCAGAGCAGUUUUCUUCAUCCACUGACCAACAGGGUUGUUCUCCAACC